rnacentral:tRNA from 1 species
UUAAUAGAAGCCAUUAGGCUUCUCAUUGUUAAUGAGAACAAGAACUUCUCCUAUUAAU